UAGAAAAUUCCUGCUUCUAGCUGGCUGGU
rnacentral:piRNA from 1 species